ACCUCGGUGGCUCAGUGGUUGAGCGGCUGUCUUUGGCUCAGUUUGUGAUCCCAGGGUCCUGGGAUCAAGUCCCACCUCGGGCU
rnacentral:tRNA from 1 species